rnacentral:rRNA from 1 species
CUGGCUCAGAUUGAACGCUGGCGGCAUGCCUUACACAUGCAAGUCGAACGGCAGCACGGGGGCAACCCUGGUGGCGAGUGGCGAACGGGUGAGUAAUACAUCGGAACGUGUCCUGUAGUGGGGGAUAGCCCGGCGAAAGCCGGAUUAAUACCGCAUACGCUCUGCGGAGGAAAGCGGGGGAUCUUAGGACCUCGCGCUACAGGGGCGGCCGAUGGCAGAUUAGCUAGUUGGUGGGGUAAAGGCCUACCAAGGCGACGAUCUGUAGCUGGUCUGAGAGGACGACCAGCCACACUGGGACUGAGACACGGCCCAGACUCCUACGGGAGGCAGCAGUGGGGAAUUUUGGACAAUGGGGGCAACCCUGAUCCAGCAAUGCCGCGUGUGUGAAGAAGGCCUUCGGGUUGUAAAGCACUUUUGUCCGGAAAGAAAUCCUCUGCCCUAAUAUGGCGGGGGAGUGACGGUACCGGAAGAAUAAGCACCGGCUAACUACGUGCCAGCAGCCGCGGUAAUACGUAGGGUGCAAGCGUUAAUCGGAAUUACUGGGCGUAAAGCGUGCGCAGGCGGUUCGCUAAGACAGAUGUGAAAUCCCCGGGCUUAACCUGGGAACUGCAUUUGUGACUGGCGGGCUAGAGUAUGGGCAGGAGGGGGGUAGAAUUCCACGUGUAGCAGUGAAAUGCGUA